rnacentral:rRNA from 1 species
UUAACACAUGCAAGUCGAACGCCCCGCAAGGGGAGUGGCAGACGGGUGAGUAACGCGUGGGAAUCUACCCAGAUCUUCGGAACAACUGAGGGAAACUUCAGCUAAUACCGGAUACGCCCUACGGGGGAAAGAUUUAUCGGAUCUGGAUGAGCCCGCGUUGGAUUAGCUAGUUGGUGAGGUAAUGGCUCACCAAGGCGACGAUCCAUAGCUGGUCUGAGAGGAUGAUCAGCCACACUGGGACUGAGACACGGCCCAGACUCCUACGGGAGGCAGCAGUGGGGAAUAUUGGACAAUGGGCGAAAGCCUGAUCCAGCCAUGCCGCGUGAGUGAUGAAGGCCUUAGGGUUGUAAAGCUCUUUCAGUAGGGAAGAUAAUGACGGUACCUACAGAAGAAGCCCCGGCU